AUACGGAGGAUCCGAGCGUUAUCCGGAUUUAUUGGGUUUAAAGGGUGCGCAGGCGGGGGAUUAAGUCGGCGGUGAAAUUUUGCCGCUCAACUGUAAAAGGGCCUUCGGAACUGGUUUCCUUUAGGGUAGAUGAAGUAGGCGGGAUUUGUGGUGUAGCGGUGAAAUGCAUAGAUAUCACGAGGAACUCCGAUUUCGCAGGCAGCUUACUAAACUACUACUGACGCUCAGGCACGAAGGCGUGGGGAUCAAACAGGAUUAGAUACCCUGGUAGUCCACGCAGUAAACGAUGAUUACUAGCUGUUUGCGAUACAAUGUAAGCGGCUGAGCGAAAGCGUUAAGUAACCCACCUGGGGAGUACGUUCGCAAGAAUGAAACUCAAAGGAAUUGACGGGG
rnacentral:rRNA from 1 species